rnacentral:rRNA from 1 species
GACGAACGCUGGCGGCGUGCUUAACACAUGCAAGUCGAACGGAAAGGCCCUGCUUUUGUGGGGUGCUCGAGUGGCGAACGGGUGAGUAACACGUGAGCAACCUGCCCUUGACUUUGGGAUAACUUCAGGAAACUGGGGCUAAUACCGGAUAGGAGCUCCUGCUGCAUGGUGGGGGUUGGAAAGUUUCGGCGGUUGGGGAUGGACUCGCGGCUUAUCAGCUUGUUGGUGGGGUAGUGGCUUACCAAGGCUUUGACGGGUAGCCGGCCUGAGAGGGUGACCGGCCACAUUGGGACUGAGAUACGGCCCAGACUCCUACGGGAGGCAGCAGUGGGGAAUAUUGCACAAUGGGCGGAAGCCUGAUGCAGCAACGCCGCGUGCGGGAUGACGGCCUUCGGGUUGUAAACCGCUUUCGCCUGUGACGAAGCGUGAGUGACGGUAAUGGGUAGAGAAGCACGGGCUAACUACGUG